rnacentral:lncRNA from 1 species
UCACAUAUUACUGACCAUUUUUGUAACCAGUUCGGUUGGUUAGUAAUUUUUGACCACUUUUUGUCCAUUUUUUUAAAUCAUCAUGAAAUGGUCAAUUAGUGGUUGGAAAUAUUUUUGACUAAUUUAUCUGGUCAGGAUUUUGGUCAGAAUAUGUUAUGUUUCCUUGUAGUGUGUAGCCUCUUCCGAGAAGAGACUUAAAGCAUGCGCAGCGGAAGUUCACAGAAGAAAAAAAAAAUAUUAAAAUAAGUAUAACCGAUGAGCUCGGUUCGUCUCGCAUCUUCUGCGCAAAACCCUUUUUCCUAAAGUUCAUCACUGUAGUGCGGGUUCCACGACACGUGACGGCCUUGGUCUAAUUUUUUUUUUUUUUUUAAAUCAAAAAAAAAAAGAAAAAAAUUUAAUAAUAAAAAAUUGAAAAAAUGAACCCCAAAAGAGAGUUUACUGAUGCUCUUGCUCUUAACCAACCAAGAACCGACGUAUCCAUUUGCACCUGUCGCGCAAUACGUCAUCAUUUUCUUCCGUCUCCGUUAGAUUCCAUCGUCUCUCUUCUUUGUCUUCUUCAAAUGCCAAUGUUGGUUUACACUUUACAGUGUAGAUUAUUGAUUUUGGCCUGUAACGCAUACCCACCGUUUUUUUGUGUGUCUGUGCUAUUUUAAUAUUGCCUUGGUUUGGUGUUACCUUUUUAUUUAUGUUUUGACAAAAGGUGUGUGUUACUGUGUUUCCAAAACCUGACAUUUGGAGGACUUUAAUCUCUUAUGGGACAAAGGACCAAAAAAAAAUCUACAACCACCAAAACUAAUAUCUUAUGGGACAAGUGAGUGUAAAUUAUGAUUUUACCCUUAAUGAAAGUUCAAUAUCAACUAUUAGAUCAAAAUCAUUCACGUUAUAAUCUGAACCGUCGGAUUUUUAAGGAUAAAAUAUUUACAACAAU